rnacentral:rRNA from 1 species
GGCUUUUGCGGCAUGGGGAUGGGGUCGCGUCCUAUCAGCUUGUUGGUGGGGUAACGGCCUACCAAGGCGUUGACGGGUAGCCGGCCUGAGAGGGCGACCGGCCACAUUGGGACUGAGAUACGGCCCAGACUCCUACGGGAGGCAGCAGUGGGGAAUAUUGCACAAUGGGCGCAAGCCUGAUGCAGCGACGCCGCGUG